CCCUUAGAUGUUCUGGGCCGCACGCGCGCUACACUGACGAAUUCAACGAGCUUAUAACCUUGGCCGAAAGGUCUAGGUAAUCUCCAAAAUUCGUCGUGAUGGGGAUAGAUUAUUGCAAUUAUUAAUCUUCAACGAGGAAUGCCUAGUAAGCGCAAGUCAUCAGCUUGCGUUGAUUACGUCCCUGCCCUUUGUACACACCGCCCGUCGCUACUACCGAUUGAAUGAUUUAGUGAGGACUUCGGACUGGGACCGAUGCGGCUUUCGGGCUGCGUCGGUAUUCUGGAAAGAUGUCCAAACUGUAUCAUUUAGAGGAAGUAAAANUCGUAACA
rnacentral:rRNA from 1 species